rnacentral:rRNA from 1 species
ACCCCUGUGACAUACCUAUACGUUGCCUCGGCGGAUCAGCCCGCGCCCUGUAAAAAGGGACGGCCCGCCCGAGGACCCUAAACUCUGUUUUUAGUGGAACUUCUGAGUAAAACAAACAAAUAAAUCAAAACUUUCAACAACGGAUCUCUUGGUUCUGGCAUCGAUGAAGAACGCAGCAAAAUGCGAUAAGUAAUGUGAAUUGCAGAAUUCAGUGAAUCAUCGAAUCUUUGAACGCACAUUGCGCCCGCCAGUAUUCUGGCGGGCAUGCCUGUUCGAGCGUCAUUUCAACCCUCAAGCUCAGCUUGGUGUUGGGACUCGCGGUAACCCGCGUUCCCCAAAUCGAUUGGCGGUCACGUCGAGCUUCCAUAGCGUAGUAAUCAUACACCUCGUUACUGGUAAUCGUCGCGGCCACGCCGUAAAACCCCAACUUCUGAAUGUUGACCUCGGAUCAGGUAGGAAUACCCGCUGAACUUAAGCAUAUCAAUAAGCGGAGGA